AAAGAUUAAACUACCUAAAGGAGAAACUUGAAAGUAAAAACUACGAAUGUGACUAUGGAGUCUUUAGGCGUCCCCUUCGUCGUCCUCCUGCAGAACCGGCUCGGGAACGAUGUCCUCUUGAUCUGAAAUGAUUAAAUAAGGAAUGAGCUACACUAGCCCAGUAAGGACAUCACGAUAUCUCACCGUCACGGAGGUAAAGGUGGGUAGAAAACACAAAAGACCAAUGGAGCAUGAUUGACGACAAAUCCUUUUAUUGAUAAAUAAACCUUUACCAUCCACUUACCUCGGUGGAAUUUAUAAAACAAUAUACGAAAACAAUAACAUUAUCAUAAUCAUGGAAUCAUAUAAACUGUAAAACAUAACACUUAUCACGCCUUUUGUAAUUCAAUCAUUAUACAACAUAUCUUUUCCUUAUUUACCAGCCCACUAGUAUCCAUGGGGAUCCAUAGGGGUCCUGCUACCCGUUAAUCCUUAACACUUGAAAUCCAUUCCAGGGUCGUCCCCAUACCCCGUCCGGUAUGGGCGCCAAACCAUAGACCUCAUUACCCCGUCCGGUAUGAGGGUGAAACGGGUCGUCCCCAUACCCCGUCUGGUAUGGGCGCCAAAUAUAUAAACCUCAAUACCCCGUCCGGUAUGAGGGUGAAACGGGCCGUCCCCAUACCCCGUCCGGUAUGGGCGCCAAAACACACAAGAUCUCCAUACCCCGUCCGGUAUGGGAGACCACAAUCCCGGUAGGGUUCUCUACGGACCCGGUCCGUCCACCAUCUCUCAGGAUAUCUAGUCGGGCUGAACACAUUAUACAAUUUCCAUUCACAUAAUCUUUCAUUCUCUUUUUCCUCAGUUAGCAUUAUCAAUCACAUACAAAUAAGCAAAACGAUAAUUUAUGCCAAACAGACAACAUACAGCAUCAAUAUCCCGGUCAUUCAAUCCAUAAUCAAUAAAACAGUAAAAUAUGCACACGAAACUAUAAAAUGAAACAUCGAACCUCAUGCUGCAUUUAAAACUGUAAAAUAGGCCCAAUAACAGUUAACCGACAAACACACUAGACUCGGGCUCCAUUAGCGACCUUAAGCAAUUUCACACAUUCGUUGAUUCAUGAAAUACCGUUUUAUCAUUUAUUGAACUUUAAAACCGUGAUAGGAAAUAGGGUGAGGGGUCCUUACUCGUUUCGGGGUCCGAACACGGCUUCACAGUGCACUUGCAGGCUGUCCCUAAUUUUCCCUGAAUUUUCCUCGGGGAACUGAAACGCACUACUGGUACCUGC
rnacentral:lncRNA from 1 species